AUCUGGUAAAUAGACAUCUGGUGACAUCUAGCAAAUAGACCGGUCCUGCCAGAUAUGAGGGAGGUAUGUACAUUACAGAGGGACGCCUCUUGUAUAUAAUAAUAACUAUGGAAACAAGAGGGCUGUGCCAUUGAUUCAGCACACCCCGCUUGGACAAGUUGGUGUAUACGAUACAUUUUUACCCGUCUUACCCAUGCUGGUAAGGAGGGAAUGAUAGGAUAACAAAGGAAAUGUGGUGGCACCCGAAAAUUUGAAGAGGCACUGAAGCAGGCCUCUGAAUGUAAAAUUUGCCAAUGAAAUAAUCCAGGCAAACCAAUUAGGAGGGGUGACGCCAAUGCCAUCACGAUCGUUUGAAUGCAUACAGAUUGGUUUUAUUGAAAUGCCAAGGGCCCAGUGUUAUAAAUAUUGCGUAGUAAUUUUAGAUUUAUUUAGUAGGUGGAGUAAAGCUCUACCAACCACUAUUACUAAGGAAAAAUGUGCACAUUUUAAUAUCUGACAGCAAUUCACUGUACACACCACCCACAAGCAUCUGGGAUGGUGGAAAGAGUCAAUGGGGAUUGCAAAACAAAAUUACCCAGGAGAUCUACAUUCCCAGGUUGGAGGAGCUUUGCUGGGAGCCAUAAAAGCUAUACGAUGAUGGGGGUGCUGGGACAAGAAGAAAUUGAAACUGUAUUGAAAAGAACAACCAAGUGUUGCUAACAACAUGAACUGCUGUAAAGAUGAAAGAUCAUCGUCGCUGGAUACAUUUGAUUGACUGUGAACAGUUUGUGGAAACAAGGACGAUGGGCUAUUGAUGUUCCUUUAUUCUGGGGUGGCCCAGCCCACAUGGACUGAACUUUCUUCAGAAUGGCAAACUUGCGGACUAACCCACAUUUAAAGGAUGGUACACACCUCCUUUUAAACAAGAUUGAAGUCAAACAUGACAAGCGCAGCAAAGAUACCCUGACUACAGACAGUAAGAGGUCUGCAAAGGCCAGUUAAAUCUACCUGUUUUUGCCACAACCAAGGCACUGGUGUAUUUUAAGGAAACAGUAUAUUUGUGACAGGGCAUUGUUAUGUUGCAAAUGCAGUGCCACACAAGAGAAGCAUGAACCAGUUACACCAGCACACAGGGAAAUCCAAAUGAAGCCGAAUAAAGGCUGAGCAAUUUUUAUGAUCCUUUUCCUGUCCUAUGGUAGUAUAUUAGUGUCACGUCCGGGGGAGGUUGGUGGCCAUUUAAAAUGUUUGGAGGGACUUGUGAAACGAUUGUCCACUAUGAAUUGAUUGUGUUACUAGUGUACUAUUAAUUUGUCUGAUGAGAUGCUUAUGGUCUUUCGUAUGUACUCAGGAAGGACUGUAGUUGUUAUCAAAAUUUUGAUAAAAGGAUGGAAUGAUGAAGCCGAGUUUUAGUUAAAAAUAUAAGAAGAUAUUAAAUUGGUUUCUGGGCUAGCUUACAGCUUAUAUUUAGUGUCAAAUUAGGCUUUCCUCAGGUUGCGGGGUGUGUGAGAUAACAUUGUCUCCCAAGUGAAGGAGCUAGAGAGAUAGCUGGUCAAAUCUUUGAAGUGAGAUGCCAUAAACCAAUGUUUAUGGGGAGGAGGCAAUAAAGGAAGAGCGAAAUAGCCAGUCACAUCUUUGUAAACAAAUGACCUAUGUUUAUGAGGGACCAAAUGACAGAGGAAGCAGCGAAGAGAGCUAGGGUGGUCUAUUUGGAGAUAAGGCAAAUGGACAAUGUUUUUAGUAUAUCUUGUACCAUGUAAAAAAAAAAGGUUUGAUGUGAUGCAUUCUGUGGAAACCUUUUCCAGUACUUCUGACCAUGACUAAUGUCUGUGGAA